ACGUGAAAGUCAAAAGGAUAUAUAUAAAAGUAUAAAUUCAAAGUGUGUAAAUAAAUAUUAAAUGAACUAAAAGUUAAGGAUUAUAGUUGUAUGCGUGUAUAUAUAUAUCGGGAUCUGGUGAGAACCACCCCUUAAGAUGAGAACUGUGAACCAAUCUCAGCUGUAGAUCAAAUAAAUCCAACAGCCCACAAUCUACCCGACCAACCCAAAACAUUAAGGGUAAUUUGGUGAUUUUGCAGCGCUGAAUGACCUCCUCUCUCAACCCAAUUUUCAGAAUUUGUUUCUCUCUCCUGUUAGAAAUCAUCGCUCCGCAAUUUUCACCUUGUUCAAGGAAGCCAUCUAGCUGGAAAACAGAAUAGGUUGCUAAAUUGGGUUCUCAUUUGCAUAUAGUAGCACUGCAACUUUGGAGGUUUCAUUCCCUUGAGGAGUUUGCUGAAGUUAAGAGAAGUUGGAGAAAACUCUUGGAUGGACACAAUCGACGUAAGAGGAAGAGACAACUCGAAAUCUGUUACAUGCCUGAUUCUGCUGGUGGCUUUUUGUCAUCUCAUACAGGCCAUUUGACAAAUUCUCAGCUAAAUUUCUUUGCAUAUUGAUAGAACGUUUUUCCGUCGUUGAAAGAUCAACGCCACAAUCAAACAAAAUUUAUAGAACCGCUAGACUAACCAACUAUAUGAACUAUAGUGGCAAGUAAAGGGAUCGUCCCAAAGAAACGAUGGUUCUUGAGUUUAAAUGUCAAGCUAAUUCGAACAAGAGGUUUGAUUUGAGUUA